rnacentral:rRNA from 1 species
ACGGGAGGCAGCAGUGGGGAAUAUUGCACAAUGGGGAAACCCUGAUGCAGCAACGCCACGUGUGGGAGGAAGCAUUUCGGUGUGUAAACCGCUGUCGUGAAGGAAUAAUGCCUGGUCUCGGCAAGGUUGAAUGUACUUUGAAAGGAAGCACCGGCAAACUUCGUGCCAGCAGCCGAGGUAAUACGAGGGGUGCAAGCGUUGUUCGGAAUCACUGGGCGUAAAGGGAACGCAGGCGGAGAUGCAAGCAGUCUGUACAAUACCGGUGCCCAACCCCGGACCUGCAGACUGGACUGUUUCUCUUGGAUAGCUCAGGGGCUGGCGGAAUUCCUGGUGUAGCGGUGGAAUGCGUAGAGAUCAGGAAGAACACCGAUGGCGAAGGCAGCCAGCUGGGGGCUUAUCGACGCUCAUGCUCGAAAGUGCGGGUAGCAAACAGGAUUAGAUACCCUGGUA